rnacentral:rRNA from 1 species
UGGGGAAUAUUGGACAAUGGGCGAAAGCCUGAUCCAGCAAUGCCGCGUGAGUGAUGAAGGCCUUAGGGUUGUAAAGCUCUUUUACCCGGGAUGAUAAUGACAGUACCGGGAGAAUAAGCCCCGGCAAACUUCGUGCCAGCAGCCGCGGUAAUACGAAGGGGGCUAGCGUUGUUCGGAAUUACUGGGCGUAAAGCGCACGUAGGCGGGUCGUUAAGUCAGGGGUGAAAUCCCGGAGCUCAACUCCGGAACUGCCUUUGAUACUGGCGACCUCGAGGCCGGAAGAGGUUAGUGGAAUUCCCAGUGUAGAGGUGAAAUUCGUAGAUAUUGGGAAGAACACCAGUGGCGAAGGCGGCUAACUGGUCCGGAUCUGACGCUGAGGUGCGAAAGCGUGGGGAGCAAAC